rnacentral:tRNA from 1 species
GCGAAAGUGGUGGAAUUGGUAGACACGCUAGAUUUAGGAUCUAGUGCCUUCGGGCGUGAGAGUUCAAGUCUCUUCUUUCGUA